CCUACGGGAGGCAGCAGUGGGGAAUAUUGGACAAUGGGCGAAAGCCUGAUCCAGCAAUGCCGCGUGAGUGAUGAAGGCCCUAGGGUUGUAAAGCUCUUUUACCCGGGAUGAUAAUGACAGUACCGGGAGAAUAAGCUCCGGCUAACUCCGUGCCAGCAGCCGCGGUAAU
rnacentral:rRNA from 1 species